GUCUUCGGCCAGGCCCCCCUGAACGCGCCCGAUCUCGUCUGAUCCCGGAAGCUCAGCAGGGUCCGGCCUGGUUCGUACUUGGAUGGGAGACCGCCUGGGAAGACCGGGCCGUAUGCA
rnacentral:rRNA from 1 species